rnacentral:misc_RNA from 1 species
GUAAAACUUCAAAUUAUUGAAAAUACAAUUCAGCUCCAACAUCAUUCGCAGGAUCUAUACCGGCGACCAGAGAAGUCCAUCCAACAGACAAAAUCCCCACCGGAGGUUCUUUAUAGAGAAGAAGCAAUACACUUCGCAUGUCUGAUUUGAACAAGAUAUGCCUCCAAUUUAUCCUUUGUUAUUGCUCCCCGUGUGAUCACUAAAUGAGCACCACCCGGAACGGUAGGCGGUGAAUGAACGAUGAUGCAGGAAGAGAAAUUAUAUUGACUGCUACCACCGAGACUUGCUGGAACCCAAUUAGUCGCUCGUCCCCAUCCAUAGUCUAUUUCGCCGAACCCUAAGCCUCUCCAAUCUGUCACAAUCAGAGCUUCACCAACAGUUCUCAGGCGAGGAUCAACCGCCGACCCUCCUUUGAUCCAGUUCAAGAACUCCAAUGGAGCCCUUACCUUAGCUUCCCUAAUCAGAUCAACUAUCCAUCUGAGUGAUGUUGUGGUAACUGUUCCGGCGGGAACUCUGGCAACAGCACUAUAAACACAGUUGCCAUAGUAACCACUACCACUGCCUGGGAGGUGAUGCAGC